rnacentral:rRNA from 1 species
CGGUAAUUCCAGCUCCAAUAGCGUAUACUAAAGUUGUUGCAGUUAAAAAGCUCGUAGUUGGAUUUCUGCGGGGACGGAGCGGCCGGACGCAACUUGCGUCUCGAGCUAGCGCUUUCCCCGCAUCCUGCCGCGAACCGUGCUACCAUUAGUUUGGUGGCGCUGGGGAUCGGCUCGAUUACUUUGAGAAAAAUAGAGUGUUCAAAGCAGGCCACACGCCUUGAAUAAGUUAGCAUGGAAUAAUGACUAAGGACUUCGGUUCUAUUUUGUUGGUGUUCGGGACUGAAGUAAUGAUUGAUAGGGACAGUUGGGGCGGUCUGUAUUCCAAAGCGAGAGGUGAAAUUCUUAGACCUUCGGAAGACAAACAGCUGCGAAAGCGUUCCGCAAGGAUGUUCCCUUUGAUCAAGAACGAAAGUUGGGGGAUCGAAGACGAUCAGAUACCGUCGUAGUCUCAACUAUAAACUAUACCAGCUAGGGAUCGGUCAACGUUUAAUUAUUCGACUUGAUCGGCACCUUAUGAGAAAUCAAAGCAUCUGGGUUCCGGGGGGAGUAUGGUCGCAAGGCUGAAACUUAAAGGAAUUGACGGAAGGGCACUACCAGCCGUGGAGCCUGUGGCUUAAUUUGACUCAACACGGGAAAACUUACCAGGUCCAGACAUAGUAAGGAUUGACAGAUUGAUAGCUCUUUCUUGAUUCUGUGGGUGGUGGUGCAUGGCCGUUCUUAGUUGGUGGAGUGAUUUGUCUGGUUAAUUCCGUUAACGAACGAGACCCCAGCCUGCUAAAUAGCGCGGCUGAGCUUUGCUCGGUGCGAGCUUCUUAGAGGGACUAUGAUGCGCGAUAGCACAUGGAAGUUUGGGGCAAUAACAGGUCUGUGAUGCCCUUAGAUGUUCUGGGCCGCACACGGGCUACACUGGCGCCUGCAACGAGCAUAUCAGCUGGCCCGAGAGGGUCUUGGCUAAUCUUUUGAACCGGCGCCGUGCUUGGGAUUGACCUUUGCAAUUGUUGGUCAUGCAACGAGGAAUGCCUUGUAAACGCGAGUCAUCAGCUCGCAUUGAAUACGUCCCUGCCCUUUGUACACACCGCCCGUCGCUCCUACCGAUGAAUGUUCCGAUGAAAUUUUCGGAGAGCGCCAGAGAACGGGGCUCUGCCUUGCAGAUCUGGAGGCUCAAAGUCACUUAAAUCUGAACAUUUCGAGGAAGGAGAAGUCGUAACAAGGUAACC